rnacentral:rRNA from 1 species
UACCAGCACCCCGAGUGGUCGGGACGUUUAUUGGGCCUAAAGCAUCCGUAGCCGGUUCUACAAGUCUUCCGUUAAAUCCACCUGCUUAACAGAUGGGCUGCGGAAGAUACUAUAGAGCUAGGAGGCGGGAGAGGCAAGCGGUACUCGAUGGGUAGGUGUAAAAUCCGUUGAUCCAUUGAAGACCACCAGUGGCGAAGGCGGCUUGCCAGAACGCGCUCGACGGUGAGGGAUGAAAGCUGGGGGAGCAAACCGG